rnacentral:rRNA from 1 species
AUUGAACGCUGGCGGCAUGCUUUACACAUGCAAGUCGAACGGCAGCGGGGAGGAGCUUGCUUUUCUGCCGGCGAGUGGCGAACGGGUGAGUAAUACAUCGGAACGUGUCGAGAAGAGGGGGAUAACCACCCGAAAGGGUGGCUAAUACCGCAUAAAUUCUGAGGAAGAAAGCUGGGGACCUGGGAAUAGGCCUAGCGCUUUUUGAGCGGCCGAUGUCGGAUUAGCUAGUUGGUGAGGUAAAGGCUCACCAAGGCGAAGAUCUGUAGCGGGUCUGAGAGGAUGAUCCGCCACACUGGGACUGAGACACGGCCCAGACUCCUACGGGAGGCAGCAGUGGGGAAUUUUGGACAAUGGGGGCAACCCUGAUCCAGCCAUGCCGCGUGUAUGAAGAAGGCCUUAGGGUUGUAAAGUACUUUUGUUAGGGAAGAAAAGUCAGCUGUGAAUAAUGGCUGAUACUGACGGUACCUAAAGAAUAAGCACCGGCUAACUACGUG